AGAGUUUGAUCAUGGCUCAGAUUGAACGCUGGCGGCAGGCUUAACACAUGCAAGUCGAGCGGGGGAAGGUAGCUUGCUACUGGACCUAGCGGCGGACGGGUGAGUAAUGCUUAGGAAUCUGCCUAUUAGUGGGGGACAACAUCUCGAAAGGGAUGCUAAUACCGCAUACGUCCUACGGGAGAAAGCAGGGGAUCUUCGGACCUUGCGCUAAUAGAUGAGCCUAAGUCGGAUUAGCUAGUUGGUGGGGUAAAGGCCUACCAAGGCGACGAUCUGUAGCGGGUCUGAGAGGAUGAUCCGCCACACUGGGACUGAGACACGGCCCAGACUCCUACGGGAGGCAGCAGUGGGGAAUAUUGGACAAUGGGGGGAACCCUGAUCCAGCCAUGCCGCGUGUGUGAAGAAGGCCUUAUGGUUGUAAAGCACUUUAAGCGAGGAGGAGGCUACUCUAGUUAAUACCUAGGGAUAGUGGACGUUACUCGCAGAAUAAGCACCGGCUAACUCUGUGCCAGCAGCCGCGGUAAUACAGAGGGUGCGAGCGUUAAUCGGAUUUACUGGGCGUAAAGCGUGCGUAGGCGGCUUAUUAAGUCGGAUGUGAAAUCCCCGAGCUUAACUUGGGAAUUGCAUUCGAUACUGGUGAGCUAGAGUAUGGGAGAGGAUGGUAGAAUUCCAGGUGUAGCGGUGAAAUGCGUAGAGAUCUGGAGGAAUACCGAUGGCGAAGGCAGCCAUCUGGCCUAAUACUGACGCUGAGGUACGAAAGCAUGGGGAGCAAACAGGAUUAGAUACCCUGGUAGUCCAUGCCGUAAACGAUGUCUACUAGCCGUUGGGGCCUUUGAGGCUUUAGUGGCGCAGCUAACGCGAUAAGUAGACCGCCUGGGGAGUACGGUCGCAAGACUAAAACUCAAAUGAAUUGACGGGGGCCCGCACAAGCGGUGGAGCAUGUGGUUUAAUUCGAUGCAACGCGAAGAACCUUACCUGGCCUUGACAUACUAGAAACUUUCCAGAGAUGGAUUGGUGCCUUCGGGAAUCUAGAUACAGGUGCUGCAUGGCUGUCGUCAGCU
rnacentral:rRNA from 1 species